AUUGAACGCUGGCGGCAGGCCUAACACAUGCAAGUCGAGCGAGCGGCGCAGAGGUGCGUAUUGUAUGUGGAUCUCUCCGCGAGAGGGGGAUAACUACUGGAAACGGUAUCUCAUACAGCGCACUCUCGCAUGUACACAUAUUGGGUUAGCUAGUAGGUGGGGUAAUGGCUCACCUAGGGGACGAUCCCUAGCUGGGCUGAGAGGAUGAUCAGCCACACUGGGACUGAGACACGGCCCAGACUCCUACGGGAGGCAGCAGUGGGGAAUAUUGCACAAUGGGCGCAAGCCUGAUGCAGCCAUGCCGCGUGUAUGAAGAAGGCCUUAGGGUUGUAAAGUACUUUCAGCCGGGAGGCGUUACCGUCAGAAGAAGCACCGGCUAACUCCGUGCCAGCAGCCGCGGUAAUAC
rnacentral:rRNA from 1 species